rnacentral:rRNA from 1 species
UACGUAGGGACCAAGCGUUGUUCGGAUUUACUGGGCGUAAAGGGCGCGUAGGCGGCGCGGUAAGUCACUUGUGAAAUCUCUGAGCUUAACUCAGAACGGCCAAGUGAUACUGCAGUGCUAGAGUGUGGAAGGGGCAAUCGGAAUUCUUGGUGUAGCGGUGAAAUGCGUAGAUAUCAAAGAGGAACACCUGAGGUGAAGACGGGUUGCUGGGCCAACACUGACGCUGGAUGACGCGAAAGCCAGGGGAGCAAACGGG